AGCCCGUGACUGAAGCCCCGGUAAACGGUGGCCGUAACAAUAGCGGUCCUAAGGUAGCGAAAUUCCUUGUCGGGUAAGUUCCGACCUGCACGAAUGGCGUAAUGAUGGCCACGCUGUCUCCACCCAAGACUCAGUGAAAUUGAAAUCGCUGUUAAGAUGCAGUGUACCCGCGGCUAGACGGAAAGACCCCGUGAACCUUUACUAUAGCUUCACAGUGAACUUUGAGCAUGUUUGUGUAGGAUAGCUGGGAGGCUUUGAAGUGGGAACGCCAGUUCUCAUGGAGCCAACCUUGAAAU
rnacentral:rRNA from 1 species